UACGGGGGGAGCAAGCGUUGUUCGGAUUUACUGGGCGUAAAGGGCGCGUAGGCGGUAGCACAAGUCAGUUGUGAAAUCUCCGGGCUUAACUCGGAAAGGUCAACUGAUACUGUGCGACUAGAGUGCAGAAGGGGCAACUGGAAUUCUCGGUGUAGCGGUGAAAUGCGUAGAUAUCGAGAGGAACACCUGCGGCGAAGGCGGGUUGCUGGGCUGAUACUGACGCUGAGGCGCGAAAGCUAGGGGAGCGAACGGG
rnacentral:rRNA from 1 species